CAAACUGUGAUGGUCAGAUCUCAGCCUUCUGAAUACCUAGGAUUACAGCUGUGAGCCACUGGCACUCAGAUUUUGUUUAGUUUCUUAUAAAAGGUUGGCUUCCUGAUCAGUUUUGUGUUGUGAUGUUCACACAUUUUGCCAAAAAUGCUUCUGCUGUGCUUUUAUUUUACUCUGCAGAACUCUUCAUGAAGAAGUUUUGAUGAAGCCAGUCACUGCUUACAAAACUUUCUACCUGUUCUGCCUAUUUAUAUACCUCUGAGUUGUCUAGCCCUACCCUGUCUGAUCCACGGCCUUCUUUAAAACAGGCAGUCCCCUAACUUAGAACAAGGUGAGGGUUCCACAGUUCUUUGUAAGUUUCCUGAUAUUUAGAAAUCAUUUUCCCAUAGGCACAUAGGUCCUACAUUCCUGCCAGCCCACAUAUACCUAACAUUAGACACAUGAUAAAUCUGAAUUUACCUACUACUUAUGGGGUUUCUAUAGAGAAAAUUGCUCAGGUUUUAAUUAGUACUAUCUAGGUCCUCAUUCUGCAGCUCCAACCAGGGGCAGAGUCACUUCCCCAAUCCUAAGAUCCUUGAAUGGAUGUAUUUUGAACUGAAAUCCCAGAGGUCAGAGUUCUGAAGGGCAGGCCAAUAAAUGGCACAUUCCAGUGUCAUUUGGGUCUCUCAACCAGUUUGUCUAAUCUUCCUUCCUUUGCACUGUGUUUCCCUGUUAAUCAGUGCAGAGCUCUUCUCUCUUCCAUAAUCUACUAAAAGUCUCCAUAAUUCUUCACCUGUACUUUUGCUGUGACCCUUUGAAUACUUGUGAAGUUUAAAAAAAAAUUUUGAUUCUUAACUAUAGUGAUAGAGGCUCACGAAAGAAUGUCUUCAGUUCUUCCUACAUGUACCACUUCACGAUCUCUAAGGAAAACCAAGAUGCCUUUCCACUAGUAUCACCUGCAACAGAUGCCUUUCCACUAGUAUCACCAAGUCCAUGGAUUACUUCAGUUUGUGUCCAGUUCUAGAUUCCACGAAUGAAGCAUCAGAAAAACCUGGAGAACAACAGUACCCUUCAAACCAGAGGGGAUCAAUAGGGGUCUUCAAAAGGCUGUUGAAGGAAGGGACUUAUGCUCAGAGCACAUAACAAUGUGCUCCAAGUAAGCCAGAACAAAAAGAAGACAUGGUUUUCUUGCUCAAAAAUCAAGAAAAAACUACCAUUAAAAUACAUGUGUUUCUCCUUUGUUCCAUAAUCUCUUGUAACUUUUCUAUUUGCUAUUUAAUGCUGUUCUAAGAAAAAAAUAAAACUUAUAAGUCUU